GACGAACGCUGGCGGCGUGCUUAACACAUGCAAGUCGAACGGAAAGGCCCUGCUUUUGUGGGGUGCUCGAGUGGCGAACGGGUGAGUAACACGUGAGUAACCUGCCCUUGACUUUGGGAUAACUUCAGGAAACUGGGGCUAAUACAGGAUAGGAGCUCCUGCUGCAUGGGGGGGGUUGGAAAGUUUCGGCGGUUGGGGAUGGACUCGCGGCUUAUCAGCUUGUUGGUGGGGUAGUGGCUUACCACGGCUUUGACGGGUAGCCGGCCUGAGAGGGUGACCGGCCACAUUGGGACUGAGAUGCGGCCCAGACUCGUACGGGAGGCAGCAGUGGGGGAUAUUGCGCUGUGGGCGGAAGCCUGAUGCAGCAACGCCGCGUGCGGGGUGACGGCCUUCGGGUUGUAAACCGCUUUCGCCUGUGACGAAGCGUGAGUGACGGUAAUUGGUAAAGAAGCACCGGCUAACUACGUG
rnacentral:rRNA from 1 species